GACGAACGCUGGCGGCGUGCUUAACACAUGCAAGUCGAACGAAGAGCGAUGGAAGCUUGCUUCUAUCAAUCUUAGUGGCGAACGGGUGAGUAACGCGUAAUCAACCUGCCCUUCAGAGGGGGACAACAGUUGGAAACGACUGCUAAUACCGCAUACGAUCUAAACUCGGCAUCGAGGAUAGAUGAAAGGUGGCCUCUACAUGUAAGCUAUCACUGAAGGAGGGGAUUGCGUCUGAUUAGCUAGUUGGAGGGGUAACGGCCCACCAAGGCGAUGAUCAGUAGCCGGUCUGAGAGGAUGAACGGCCACAUUGGGACUGAGACACGGCCCAGACUCCUACGGGAGGCAGCAGUGGGGAAUCUUCCGCAAUGGACGAAAGUCUGACGGAGCAACGCCGCGUGAGUGAUGACGGCCUUCGGGUUGGAAAGCUCUGUUAAUCGGGACGAAAGGCCUUCUUGCGAAUAGUGAGAAGGAUUGACGGUACCGGAAGAGAAAGCCACGGCUAACUACGUG
rnacentral:rRNA from 1 species